UACGUAGGCAGCAAGCGUUGUUCGGAAUUACUGGGCGUAAAGAGUGUGUAGGCGGUGCUCUAAGUUCGGUGUGAAAUCUCCCGGCUCAACUGGGAGGGUGCGCCGGAAACUGGAGUGCUGGAGCGCGGGAGAGGAAAGCGGAAUUCCUGGUGUAGCGGUGAAAUGCGUAGAUAUCAGGAGGAACACCGGCGGGUGUAGACGGCUUUCUGGACCGUAGCUGAC
rnacentral:rRNA from 1 species